UGGGGAAUAUUGGACAAUGGGCGCAAGCCUGCUCCAGCCAUGCCGCGUGAUUGAUGAAGGCCCUAGGGUUGUAAAGCUCUUUCACCGGGGAAGAUAAUGACGGUAACCGGAGAAGAAGCCCCGGCUAAUUUCGUGCCAGCAGCCGCGGUAAUACGAAGGGGCCUAGCGUUGUUCGGAUUUACUGGGCGUAAAGCGCACGUAGGCGGGCUAUUAAGUCAGGGGUGAAAUCCCGGGGCUCAACCCCGGAACUGCCUUUGAUACUGGUAGUCUUGAGUUCGAGAGAGGUGAGUGGAAUUCCGAGUGUAGAGGUGAAAUUCGUAGAUAUUCGGAGGAACACCAGUGGCGAAGGCGGCUCACUGGCUCGAUACUGACGCUGAGGUGCGAAAGCGGGGGGAGCAAACAGG
rnacentral:rRNA from 1 species